GACGUAGGGCGCGAGCGUUGUCCGGAUUUAUUGGGCGUAAAGAGCUCGUAGGCGGCUUGUCGCGUCGAAUGUGAAAACUCGGGGCUCAACUCCGAGCUUCAUUCGAUACGGCAGGCUAGAGUUCGGUAGGGGAGGACUGGAAUUCUGGUGUAGCGGUGAAAUGCGCAGAUAUCAGGAGGAACACCGGUGGCGAAGGCGGGUCUCUGGGCCGAUACUGACGCUGAGGAGCGAAAGCGUGGGGAGCGAACAGG
rnacentral:rRNA from 1 species